ACUCAAAUUACAAAACAUGUGCUAAAAUAUUCGUCUACUAUUGGGUUAUAUGGCAAUUGUGUUACUUAUUUUGAUUCAUGUUCUCAUCUAUGAUAUGUUACUUCUGAGUCUAAAUAUUGGCUUCCCUCAGAAAAUAGCUCGGAAAUGAAGAUGUUGGUGGUUGAUCUAAUCAACUGUGCAGUAACAAUGACAAUUGAACAUGAACUCA
rnacentral:misc_RNA from 1 species